rnacentral:rRNA from 1 species
UACGUAGGCAGCGAGCGUUGUUCGGAGUUACUGGGCGUAAAGGGUGUGUAGGCGGGUUUCUAAGUUUGGUGUGAAAUCUCCCGGCUUAACCGGGAGGGUGCGCCGAAAACUGGGAGACUAGAGUGCGGGAUGGGAGAGUAGAAUUCCUGGUGUAGCGGUGAAAUGCGUAGAUAUCAGGAGGAAUACCGGUGGUGUAGACGGCUCUCUGGACCGCAACUGACGCUGAGACACGAAAGCGUGGGUAGCAAACAGG